rnacentral:lncRNA from 1 species
UCUUACCAGAAAGUAUAGAUGUGGACAUAGUAUGCUGAAAUAGUUAAACAGAUCUGAACAUUUUAUCAAUAGGGAGAAAGAAGCUAAGCUUAUCAGCUAACACACUAUUCUAAGGAUAAAUUUCAGAACAUAAAAAAUAAACUUAUUUUGGAAUCUAAACUGAACCACAUCAAGCAGAAACAUUCAUGAAGAUUGCCAACAAUCAUAUUACGACCAUGCUUCUGUUAACAACCACGACUUAAUUCAAAUUUUAUUCAUUACUCCAAAAUAACAACCAAUACUCUCCUAUAAUACUGGCCCGACAUCAGAAAGCCAAUUAAGCUUCAUUUCUCAUGGUGUUUCAAACAGCACUAACACUAGGUAAAAGAAUUAAGAAGGAACCUAAAUAUGAACAAAAAACAGUUGACAAUUAGUGCCUCGAGCAGCAGCAGAUUCAAGCUUCUCGAGCAAAUUCCGUUUUACCCAGAAUCUGGAAUCGACAAUGAAAAUAUAUACCUUAAGACUUCGACAUUUUAGACAGUAAUAGACAUUGGAAUCAAACCAUAGAAAAUUUAACAAUAUCUGUAUUUUUUCCUCUGUUCUCAAACUAGCAACCAAAAAUGAAACAAAAGAAGAAAAGAGAAAUGUUUAAAACUUGACUCUCUGCUUUCAAUUUCCUUCCGAAAAAAAUAUUUUCUUCACUUUUUCUCCCUUAAAGUAUCCUUUCUGUCUGAAAUUUUUCCUCUCCUCUACACAAGAAAUUCCCUCACCUUAUAUAAGCCCUCGGAUAUUCUUGAAGCUUCCUACUUCCUCACCAUGAAAUCCCUGAAUUUAUCCCCAUAAUCCGAAAGGACACCAACCCAGUCUCACACGGAAUGAAACUUGGACAAAUGGAAGGCACAGAUAUGAUUUCUCACAUCCAACCGCUCCCAUUUACCCGAGAUUCAACCCUUGAAAUCAAGAGCACGUGAAGAUGGCAAACGUUGAAAAUAUUCUAUCAGAGACAGUUAUGCCACAUAGGAGAGAGAAGGAGAGACCAUGUGAUGAGUUAGAUGUGCUCGACUGAAAACUCUGGCGAGUUUGGCGAGCUCAGUGAGGCAGACACGGUUGGAGACGGGCACUGCCUUUGAGGUCUCUAGGUUUAGGGUUGUGCCUCAAUUUGGAAUGGGGUAUAAUGAGAGACCAGGGGGAACAUGGGUUGUUUAAUGUUAGGGAUGUGUGAAACGACGUAAUUUAGAACUAAAACUAUAUCAUUUCGGCUAGCAGAAAGUGGAUCGGGUAUUAGGGGUCUGGGCCUAGUUCGGUCAUGGGUGCUAGAUGACUUGGGCGUGGAAAAAAAUGAAAUAAAGAAGCCCAAAAAACCUGAAUCUCCUUUCUCUCUUUCUUUUCUCUUUUUUUUUUUUUUUUAAUUUCAACUCAAUUUAACCCAAAAUUCUUUUUCCUUCUUUUUCAAAAUUUGAUUAAAAUCAAAAUUAAUUCCUAGAACUUAAUUAACUAAUUAAACC